GAUAAACGCUGGCGGCGUGCAUAACACAUGCAAGUCGAACGAUGAAACUUAGCUGAUUUCUUCGGAAUGAAAAUAAGUGGAUUAGUGGUGAACGGGUGAGUAACACGUGAGUAACCUGCCUUACACAAGGGGAUAGCCUUUGGAAACGAAGAAUAAUACCCUAUAACGUCAAAAUAUCGCAUGAUAAAGUGACCAAAGAUUUAUCGGUGUAAGAUGGACUUGCGUCUGAUUAGCUAGUUGGUGAGAUAAAAGCCCACCAAGGCGACGAUCAGUAGCCGGCUUGAGAGAGUGUACGGCCACAUUGGGACUGAGACACGGCCCAAACUCCUACGGGAGGCAGCAGUGGGGAAUUUUGCACAAUGGGGGAAACCCUGAUGCAGCGACGCCGCGUGAUUUAGAAGGCCUUCGGGUUGUAAAAAUCUUUUUUAUGGGAUGAGAAUGACAGUACCAUAAGAAUAAGGUCCGGCUAAAUACGUGCCAGCAGCCGCGGUAAUACGUAUGGACCGAGCGUUGUCCGGGAAUCAUGGGGCGUAAAGGGUACGUAUGCGGGCCUAGUAAGUUAGAAGUGAAAUAAUAUAGCUCAACUAUAUAAAGCUUUUUAAAACUGUUACGCUUGAAAAAUAAAAGGAAAAGUGGAAUUCAUAGUGUACGGUGAAAUGCGCACAUAUUAUGAAGAAUACCCGGUGGCGAAAGCGACAUUUUGGUCUCAUCUUUAUACUAAGUCUACAAAAGUGGUAUGCCCACGAUUAUAUACCCUGGAAUUCAGAGGGAGAAUUCCCAAAGAAAUCAGGUUAUGGAACCCUGAAGUGUGCGGGGGCCCGUUCCCGCAUUUGGUCCUCUGGGGGGGGUGG
rnacentral:rRNA from 1 species